rnacentral:rRNA from 1 species
UACGUAGGCAGCAAGCGUUGUUCGGAGUUACUGGGCGUAAAGGGUGUGUAGGCGGUUCUUUAAGUUUGGUGGGAAAUCUCCCGGCUCAACCGGGAGGGUGCGCCGAAAACUGAAGGGCUUGAGUGCGGGAGAGGAGAGUGGAAUUCCUGGUGUAGCGGUGAAAUGCGUAGAUAUCAGGAGGAACACCGGUGGUGUAAACGGCUCUCUGGACCGUAACUGACGCUGAGACACGAAAGCGUGGGUAGCAAACAGG